GUGAAGCCAAACGACGGCAGCAUCGACAUGGCCGAGCGCGGCGGCGGCCGCAGGAGGAAGAGGAGAAGGAGGAGGAGGACGAGGAGGAGGCGACGGGCACCCCGCGGGAGCGCGGCGGCGGAGGGGCGCGGGGUGCUCGGCUCGGGAAGAGCACGGACCUGAGAGUUUGUAACUUCUGGGUGAGGAGGAGAGAAACGCAACGCGGGACUGGGGAAACCCCUGGGCAUUGUAACGAGAGCGGGCUUCUCUUGCCCUCACAGUUCUCCUUUUUUUUGUUGUUCUCUUUUUCUUUUUUUUUUUUUCUCCUGUAAAAGGCCGACCAAAACAAACACCGCCCUUGUUGGGAAUAAGCAAAUUAUCCCGAUGCGGCCGGCGGAAGAACUGACAGACACGGGCGAGGGCUGAGCGGAGGCUUCCUCGCGAUUCUUGAGCGGGACUUUAUUCUCCCUUCUCAUCAAAAUUCACAAAAGGAGGGGACAGACCCGUCGGGGUCUACCUGGGAGUUGCUGCAGGCAAGGACCGCUGAGCAUCUAUGUUCGUUAAGGCUCCAGGCUUGGUUUGCCUAAAAAUUGGGAACCUUUCAUUUAGAACCACGGGAAGAGGCUAAUGUAUUUCCAGAACACCCCAUCCCAUUUAACCCUUGAAAAAUCACAAAAGCAACUACAAAAAUGAGAGUUUCGAGCCGCUCAAAAAAUAAAAACAUAAACAAGGAAGCAAAUAAAAUGAGCAAAAAUUAGCAAAAAGCCACCGAGCAAGACAACGGCGCAGAGCUGCCGCUGGCCCCUCUCGGUGCUUCCUUUGCCGGCGGGGCAGGAGCAGCCGGGCAGCAUCACCCGGCAGCAUCAUCGGGCAGCAUCACCAGGCAGCAUCACCCCGCUCCCCGCCUGGCCGGAGCUCCCGGGGCUGCCCCCGCCGCCGGGGCCUGGCCCCUCCGCGCCCGCGGAGAGGUGGCGGCCGAGCGAGGGGGCCUCCCCUGCUCGCCCCCAUUGCCCGGGCACCCAUCGGCUCUGUUUGUGCGGGAAAUUCAUUUAUUCCCUUAUUUAUUCGAUGUAUUUAUACAACGCAGGGCGGGGAUGAAGAUGGAGCCCACGAAAUGCGCUGCGGGUUUUUCCUCUAUUUCGCCAGAAAAUCAAAACAAAGCAGAAAAAAAAGUAAACCAAAUACAUCCCCCAUUUCCUUCCGAGCUUAGAAAUAAAGCUCUUCCCCAAUCAAAAGUAAAAUUUAAUUUUUUUUUUCCCCCUAUAAGUGCGAAGGUAUAGAGGAAACAAAUAGCUCAGCAAAAUAAAACCAGCAGAGGGUUUUUGGGAGCCGCUUCUCGUCGGGAUGAGAACCGGGGCUGGAGGCUGGGAACCGGCGGGGCAGAAACACAACGCUGCCACUCGCCGAACAUUUCGAAGGCGAAAUCCAAAACCGGCCCAUUAAGUCAAUGAGGUUUGUGUUGUAGAGGCUCCUUUCCCAUCCACUUGCUGUUCUGAAAAAUAGAUCGCAUUUCGUUAUCUCGAGUGAGGAUCUGCAACGUGAUACCGGAUCCGCGCCGCCUUCCCCGCCGAAUGCGAGGCGCAGGGAGACAGCCAGCUUCCCGGCUUAUUCCCCAACAAUAAAGGAUUUGUAUUUUCUUUCUCCCCCCCUCUCCCCCCCCCCCUCGUUUAUUAUUCUAUUUUUUAAUGAGGAAGAACAAACCCCUCUCCAUAUGCACCGCUCUUCUCUUGCAGGAGCCUCUGGCCCGGCUCGCCUGCAGACCGGUGCGACCUUUAAUUACUUGUUAGUAAAUUGCCCUCCCGACACCUGUAAAAACAAAGCCGGUGUCCGCGGGGCGGGGGCCGCGUCCCUGCCCGGGCCCCGCGCCCCGGGGGUGCCACCGAGGGGUCCCCCCGCAUCCAGCGGGGUCAGGCCGGGCCGGGGCUGCCCGAGGAGGGCCGGGCCGGGCCGGGCCGGGAUGCUGGGGCAGGAGAAGGAUGAGGAUAAGGCCUUCCCGAUGUGGCCGAUCCCCAGGGCACAAAGGGCUCUUUCUUCGUGCACUUACCGGGACAUUUUUCAAAGGAUUAGAGGUGAUCACGCGUUGUUUUCUUCUCUCCGAGGGCCGACACGUCUUUCUGUCCCUGUCCCCCCCACCUCCACCCUUAUUUCCUCCCGCUUUUGCCAUGGGACCCCCAGAUCCCGUUCCCCCCUUUCCUUUUCGUUAAUGUACCUCCUGGAUGCUGAUUCUUUUAAGCUACGAAGAAUUUCCUUUUGGGAGGUGAAACCCUCCAGCUCCUCCUGUUCAGAGGAAAGUGCUAGUGAUGGUAAUACGGGGUGACACUAAAUAAACAGUUAAAGCAGGGCUGGAAAGAUGGAGUUAAUUAUCCAGUGAGCUACAUUUAAACCGAGACCAGGAGGGGCUGAUUUGUUUUGGCGCAGGGAACUGAGAAGGAGACGAGCCACCGAGGUCUCCUUGCUCCUCUUUGGUGGCUCUUUAACUUGUCCUUGCUGUCGCCAGCCCGGGGACCGGCGUCCUUUGGCCCGGGAGGGGGAGCCCCCGGCUGGGACCCCCGAACCGUGGCCCGCCCGGCCCGCGGCCGCAGCGCUGGGAGUCUGUGCGAGCCGUGCAUGGGAGCAGGCGAUUUCAGGGAGUCCAGAGGCGAGUUUUCCUUGUUUGUUUGCUUUUGCUUCCCAGAAGUUAGAUAAAUUCUCGUCGGUGUGGCUCGCCGGUGCCUGUGCUCUCAGGAUCCUGUUGGAGCUUCAUCUGGAAUGAUUCUGGAGGUGUUGACUGCAGGGAAGAAGUCACAGUUUCCAACGUAUCACAACUGACAGUGAAGUUCCUUCAGUUCUGGGAGAUUUCCAGCAAUUCCACUUAACUCCCAAAGCUCAGCUGUGAAUGCACCUGGGGUUGCACUUCUUGAGCAGAGCCCUCUGCAACCACAUUUGUGAUCUGAUGUCCUGGCUGAAGUAACCUGCUCCUGCAGAGUGCACAGGUGCAGCAGGCUGAACUCUGCAAUGACCACGGUGGGGACACAUCACUCCUUCUGCCAAGACCCCAGAGAGGCAGAAACCUUCGUCCUGGGGACAGGCAGGGGCAGAAAGCCCUGAUAGUGCCUGAGAACGAGCAGCCAGAACUCAGGAGUGUGUUCUUGGGCAGGGUUUGAAGAGAAGCUGAGUUAAGCUCACAUUUUGGAGGUACCCUCCUAGCAGAGCUGAGUUCUCCUGCAUGUUCAUUCCAGAACUGUGAGCAGCAGGGAGGAGAAGGGGAAUGAUGAGUGCAGAAACCAGAGGGUGCAGAAAGCAGAGGGGCUCUUGCAGGGUGUGCUGUGUCCCAGCUGAUGAUGGGUGUGGUGCAGGUUUUGACAUCAGGACAAGGAAUUCUUUGCAGGCCAAGGUCUGGCAGGGCUUGGUCAGGCUGUGCAGGGUGAGAGAGGGGUGGUGACUGUCCCCUGGAGCCACAUCCAAGAGGAAAGAGCUAUUCCAGGGGGGAGAAUGAGCUUGAUGUUGGGAGAAGAUCUCCAGCACACGGUGCUCUGCAGUAAGGGUGAUAGAAAUCACACUCGUUGUACAGAGGAGCCCCGUGGAAGAACAAAGGGCUCAGAUGGGCUGUUCCCCUGCUCUUAUCUCACCCUUUUUUAUUUUAAACACCACUUUUCCGAAGGUUUCUCUGCAGGGGGUGGGGCAGGCAGGACACCAAAGGCAAAAUUCCUGUUUGCUCUUCCCGAGUGGCACAUUUGCAUGCACCAGAGGCAUCGGCAUCAGAUGGGUUUUGGGGGCAAGGCAGAGGAGGAAGAGGAGGAAUCUUCCUCCCAUUUUGUUUUGUACAUUCCUUCUGCUGGUGAACUGUUACCACCGUGGCUGGGGAGGUUUUUCUGAUGCCUCUUGGGUUUGUUCUGCAGGCAGCACUUCUGAUUCUGUCUGGCCACAUAAUGUAUUUGGCUGGUUGUCUCUCUCUCUCUCUCUAAAAAUUCCCAAUUUUCUUGGUUUAAUUUUUUUUUUGGUUUAUUUUUUUUUCUUUGUGGCAUUUUAAUGUCUCACAACUUGCACCUUUUCCAAGAAAUUAAAGGCCUGUAAACAAACAGCUGUUUUACAGGCAAGCUUUAAAACAGGCAGCAAGUAAGAACCCCUUGUAAAAGAGAAUUUGGGGAAAAUUUCUUCAGUGUGGGUAACACUUUUAAAAUAUUUCUUCCACAAAACUAGGUAUUACAAACAAUUCCUGAGCUAACACUCAAGUAAACCACCAUGAAUUAUUCAGGUAAUUAAAACUUUAAAACCAUAUUAGGGGAAACUAGGAGAGAGUGAAGCAUUGUUGACCUUGAAAACAAGUGAUGAGAGAAAAUCCAAGUAUGGAUGGGUGAUAGAGACAGUUCAGCUGCCUUUACCUUCAGCUUCAGGGAAGAAAAGAGAAGAGCCACAAAUCUUUUCUGCUAAUAAUUUGUUUCACACUCUGGUAGAAAAGCCAUUGGAAAUGUAUCCAAGGUUGUGCUGGAACUUUCUUGUGCUGGCACUGUAGGUCUGGCCUUUUUAUUGAGGUUAGUGAAAGCACUUCAGAGCUUGGCCCUGGGAGAUGGGGAGAGCUGGAUGGUGGGGAGCAUGCAGCCAGCAGACAAUGCAAGGAGCAGGGAUCCCAUGGCAGGGAGUGGGUUUGUCCUACUGUGAGCUUGUGUAAGAGCAAUUUUAACUCAGAUCCUUUCCUUUUGGUGAUCUAGAGUAGAUCUUUUUCCCUUCAUCACCUGAGAGUUUCCAUGUUCUUUUCUCCACUAAAACUUUCCAUCUGGUAAGUUCUGGGGAGCUCCUUUCCUGGCAGGGUGUCUUCCUGUCCUGCACCCACCCUCUCCUGCCUGGCACAUGCUGUGGAAUGCAUCAGCAGGUGCUGGGAGAGUGCAAGGGCACAAGUCAGGAGUGACAGCAGCUCAGAGCCCUUCCCAAGGGCUGGCUUUGGCAAAUUCCAGCCUGGCCCAAGGGCAAGGACUGCUCAGCUCCAGGGAACAGUGUGGCCCUGGCUCUGCAUGGAGCUGGCAUGCUGUGGGACAGGCUGAGGCUGUGGAAGGUGCUCGGUUACAAGGACUCCAGGACAGUGCUGAAAUGAAGCACAAGGGACAGAGUGUGGAGGUGGAUUAGCUGAUUAAUGCACAGCUAAUUAGGAAGUUGGAGCCAGGCAUGCAAGCCCUGCUCUCCUCCUCUCCUGGUUCUGACCCCUCUGACUGUGAGUGCAACCCAGGGAACCACUGCAGACCGCUACAGGAAAAGCAAAUAUUGUUGUUUCAAGCAGAGAAUGGUUUAUUCUACAGCAGAACCAAGGGUGUGUUCUCUUGGAGAGCCCACAUUGAGCUCAGGGGAUUGUAGCCCUCCCAGUGAGGCUGCUCCUUGUGGCUGCACAAGCCCAGGUGCCAGGUGUGCCACCCUAAACCCACGGGUGAUGAGGGGAUGUGUGUGGGGCUGCUGUGAGCACAUCCAGUGGCUCCAGAGAUGGUCCAUCAGCUCCUCCCUGCAAGCAGGUCCUUUGCUGCUGCUUGGGCCAGUUUUGGGCCAGGUGCCCAGGGCAGGAUGGAGUCACUGAGGUGCCAGUGGAGCUGUGAGGGGCAGGAUGCAGCUGGAGCAGGCACAGAAGCCAGAGAUGCUGGGGGAGAGGAGGGUACAAGCUCUGCCCUUCCCCGCUGGAGCUGUGUGAUCCUGUGUAUAAUCCCUUUAGCUUCGAUGGCACCAUGGUGAUUUACAGCACUAAUGCUUUGAUCCAGAACAUGAUGGACCAUGGGACACAAAUUAAAAGAUGAGAGAUGACUGCAAAGCACAAGUUUCCAUUUGUGGCCAGCUAUUUUGUGAAGACGUGACAGCAACCAGGUGUGAAGAUCUUGCAGGAGAUGAGGGGAAACCAAGCCAGUGCAAGCAGAUUUGUUAGAAUGUGAAUGGGAGCACAGCAGAGUAAGUGCUAUUAAUAGGAUUUACACAGAUUAGUAAACUAAUCUGUGCAUUUCAGAUUGGAUUUCAUAUUAUGGAAAAGAAAAUUAAGCCACAUACCACACAGACUUUCCAGGCAGUGAUUUGUGAGCGUGAUCUAUUUGCUGGUAGAAGUGGCUGCUCAGGAAGGUUGUGACAGCUCUGUUGGGUGGGACAGGGACACCCACUGGGAGCCCAGGAGGGGGGACAGUGCUGUAGCAUGCAGAGCUGGGCUGGUGGGUUUGGGAGACAGACAAUGAAAGGAGCAGUUUGGUUAAGGAAUGGCUUUUAAAAUGCAUUGCCAGGAGGUAAAGCAGUGUCCAGCCUUGGCUGCAUCACCACUGGUGCAGAGUUGUCCUCCUGGCUCAACUGAAAUGAGAAGCUGUGGCUGCCUCAUCUGUGGAAGUGCUCAAGGCCAGGUUGGAUGGGGCUUGGACAGCCUGGUCUGCUGGAAAGUGUCCCCACCUAUGGGAUGAGAGGAGUUUUAAGGUCCCUUCCAACCCAAACCAUUCUACAUUUCUGUGAAAAAUAACUUUCCCUGCUGUGCACGUGGGCUGAAGAGGAGCAGAAUUGGUCAGAUGUCACUGAAGGGGGGAGGCAAAGGGCUGCCCAAAGGGAAGGGCAGAGUUCUAUUGCUGUGCCCUGCUCCUGGUACCAGUGUGCAGGAGGUGGGCAGGGACAGGGAGGUGGGAGGCAUUGGCACAGCUUAGGGAGAGAUUGAGCACCCAGGACAAUUCUGAGCAGUCAUCUGUGUAAGCUGAAAGUUUCAUAUGCUAUGUAUAUAUAAUAUAAAAUAUAUAAUAUUAUCUAAAUAUAUAUACAGAUUAUAUAAUAUAAAAACAAUAUAUGUUACAUAUGAAAAUGUAAUAUAUAAUAUAUGUAAAUAUAUCCUAUACAUUUAAAUAUAUAUUUUAAUAUAUAUGCUUAUAUUAUAGAUAUAUUUAUAUAUUUAUAUAUUUAUAAAUAGGAAUAAAUAUACA